GAUGAACGCUGGCGGCGUGCCUAAUACAUGCAAGUCGAGCGAACAGAUUAGGAGCUUGCUCCUCUGACGUUAGCGGCGGACGGGUUAGUAACACGUGGAUAACCUACCUAUAAGACUGGGAUAACUUCGGGAAACCGGAGCUAAUACCGGAUAAUAUAUUGAACCGCAUGGUUCAAUAGUGAAAGACGGUUUUGCUGUCACUUAUAGAUGGAUCCGCGCCGCAUUAGCUAUUUGGUAAGGUAACGGCUUACCAAGGCAACGAUGCGUAGCCGACCUGAGAGGGUGAUCGGCCACACUGGAACGGAGACACGGUCCAGACUCCUACGGGAGGCAGCAGGAGGGAAUCUUCAGCAAUGGGCGAAAGCCUGACGGAGCAACGCCGCGUGAGUGAUGAAGGUCUUCGGAUCGUAAAACUCUGUUAUUAGGGAAGAACAAAUGUGUAAGUAACUAUGCACGUCUUGACGGUACCUAAUCAGAAAGCCACGGCUAACUACGUG
rnacentral:rRNA from 1 species